UACGUAGGGUGCGAGCGUUGUCCGGAAUUAUUGGGCGUAAAGAGCUCGUGGGCGGUGUGUCACGUCGGCCGUGAAAACCUGCAGCUUAACUGUGGGCGUGCGGUCGAUACGGGCAUCACUGGAGUUCGGCAGGGGAGACUGGAAUUCCUGGUGUAGCGGUGAAAUGCGCAGAUAUCAGGAAGAACACCAGUGGCGAAGGCGGCUAUCUGGACGGUUUCUGACGCUAAGACGCGAAAGCGUGGGGAGCAAACAGG
rnacentral:rRNA from 1 species